UACCUUUCCUUGUGCCAUCUCCCUUCAUAGGACACAGGCAGGGUGCUAGGUGUGCAUCCUCACAGGCUAGGUCUUGGGAGCCAUGGAGAAGGAAGACCAGAGAAAAAUCAUGAGGGGCAGUGGGUGCUGAGGUGGUGCGGUGACUCUGAUUACUCAUCUCUGUUCAUCGAGUCGGGCUCAGGUGCACUUCCAGAGGAACUGUCCAGGAGCCCCAGCCCGAGGAGAAGCUGGCAGAAGUGGAUCUGAUCAGCCUGAACAUCCUUCUAAGCAGACAUGAGCAGUCCUUAGCUUUCUGCCUCGCACAUAACACUUCACGACUUUUAGCAGCACGGCUGAAGCUUAAGAUAAAUGCAUGGUAGAGGCUGAGGACAGGCGGCUGCUUCACUUUAGUACCACAGACAAAGAAGUCAAGGGUAAGAGCCCACCCCUGUUGUGAGAUGGAAAGCGCACAAGAGCCAUGAGACAGCAAGCAUUGUUGAUGCCAGGAUAUGCAGAUACCGUCGAGCUGGAAGUGGAGCACCCAUCACCAUCAGUGAGAAGUGUCUGGUUUGGGGAGGACUCUGUUAACGGCCCACCUGCCUCCAGGAUGAGAAUUGUCGUUAGCUGGGGCUUGGUUUGUAGGAAAAGGUUCCUGAGUAGCUGUGGUUAGGAGGGAGACAAGGUCCCCAUUUCAGGGGCUGCUCAUUUCUCUGACCAUAAAUGGUGUUUUCUCUCUAGCAGUCAGGGCUGGCU